GCUUGUCUCAAAGAUUAAGCCAUGCAUGUCUAAGUACAAGCCUCAGUAAGGUGAAACCGCGAAUGGCUCAUUAAAUCACACCUAAUCUACUGGAAAGUUACUAGUUACUUGGAUAACUGAGGUAAUUCUUGAGCUAAUACAUGCUGAAAAGCCCGACUUCGGAAGGGUUGUAUUUAUUAGAUAAAAAACCAAUGCCCUUCGGGGCUCUUUGGUGAUUCAUGAUAACUUCUCAGAUCGCACGGCCUUGCGCCGGCGACGGUUCAUUCAAAUUUCUGCCCUAUCAACUUUCGAUGGUACGGUAUUGGCCUACCAUGGUUUCAACGGGUAACAGGGAAUUAGGGUUCGAUUCUGGAGAGCGAGCCUGAGAGACGGCUAGCACAUCCAAGGAAGGCAGCAGG
rnacentral:rRNA from 1 species